CCUGGCCCUAGAAGUGUUACAGGAGUGGCUUCUGUGUCACAUAUAUGUCAGUAGAUAGCAGAGAGGAGAGUGACUAGGUCUAUGCUCAGUGUUCUGACCUAUGAACAUCUGAAUGAUUAGUGACCCUGA